rnacentral:rRNA from 1 species
GACGAACGCUGGCGGCGUGCUUAACACAUGCAAGUCGAACGAAGUGGCGAACGGGUGAGUAACGCGUAAUCAACCUGCCCUUCAGAGGGGGACAACAGUUGGAAACGACUGCUCAUACCGCAUACUGAAGGAGGGGAUUGCGUCUGAUUAGCGAGUUGGAGGGGUAACGGCCCACCAAGGCGAUGAUCAGUAGCCGGUCUGAGAGGAGGAACGGCCACAAUGGGAAUGAGACACCGCCCAGACUCCUUCGGGAGGCAGCAGGGGGGAAUCUUCCGGAAUGGACGAAAGUCUGACGGAGCAACGGCGCGGGAGUGAUGACGGCCUUCGGGUUGUAAAGCUCUGUUAAUCGGGACGCGGUACCGGAACAGAAAGCCACGGCUAACUACGUGCCAGCAGCCGCGGUAAUUC